ACGCGAGGAACCUUACCAGGUCUUGACAUCCUCUGACACUCCUAGAGAUAGGACGUUCCCCUUCGGGGGACAGAGUGACAGGUGGUGCAUGGUUGUCGUCAGCUCGUGUCGUGAGAUGUUGGGUUAAGUCCCGCAACGAGCGCAACCCUUGAUCUUAGUUGCCAGCAUUCAGUUGGGCACUCUAAGGUGACUGCCGGUGACAAACCGGAGGAAGGUGGGGAUGACGUCAAAUCAUCAUGCCCCUUAUGACCUGGGCUACACACGUGCUACAAUGGAUGGUACAAAGGGCUGCAAGACUGCGAAGUCAAGCCAAUCCCAUAAAACCAUUCUCAGUUCGGAUUGCAGGCUGCAACUCGCCUGCAUGAAGCCGGAAUCGCUAGUAAUCGCGGAUCAGCAUGCCGCGGUGAAUACGUUCCCGGGCCUUGCACUCACCGCCCGU
rnacentral:rRNA from 1 species